rnacentral:rRNA from 1 species
AGCUCCUGCAUAUAAGUGAAAACACUUACCUGAUCUCAUCUGAUCUCAGAAACUAAGCAGGGUUGGGCCUGGUUGGUACUUGAGUGGGAGGCCUUUCUUAAGUACGGGCCCAAGAAGUUG